ACUGGGUGCAGUGAUGCAUGCCUGUAAUCCCAGCAACUUGGGAGGCUGAGGCAGGAGGAUCACGAGUUCAAAGCCAGUCUCGGUAAUUUAGCAACGCACUCUAGCAACUCAGUGAGACCCUGUCUCUA
rnacentral:sRNA from 1 species